rnacentral:ncRNA from 1 species
UGGCCCAUCGGGGCCUCGGAUACCUGCUUCUAUUUUU